rnacentral:rRNA from 1 species
GACGGGCGGGGCAAGUGUUCUUCGGAAUGACUGGGCGUAAAGGGCAGGUAGGCGGUGAAUCGGGUUGAAAGUGAAAGUCGCCAAAAAGUGGCGGAAUGCUCUCGAAACCAAUUCACUUGAGUGAGACAGAGGAGAGUGGAAUUUCGUGUGUAGGGGUGAAAUCCGUAGAUCUACGAAGGAACGCCAAAAGCGAAGGCAGCUCUCUGGGUCCCUACCGACGCUGGGGUGCGAAAGCAUGGGGAGCGAACAGG